rnacentral:tRNA from 1 species
GGAGAGGUGGCUGAGUGGACGAAGGCGGCAGACUCGAAAUCUGUUGUACCUCUUGCUAGGUACCGUGGGUUCGAAUCCCACCCUCUCCG